CUACGGGAGGCAGCAGUGAGGAAUUUUGCGCAAUGGGGGAAACCCUGACGCAGCGACGCCGCGUGGGUGAAGAAGGCUUUCGAGUCGUAAAGCCCUGUCAGGUGGGACGAAUAAAGCUCGUCGAUAAAACGGGCUUUUUGACGGUACCACCAGAGGAAGCACCGGCUAACUCCGUGCCAGCAGCCGCGGUAAUACGGAGGGUGCUAGCGUUGCUCGGAAUUACUGGGCGUAAAGCGCGUGUAGGCGGCCAGGUAAGUUAGAUGUGAAAGCCCUCGGCUCAACCGGGGAAUUGCAUCUAAUACUGCUUGGCUUGAGUACGGGAGAGGGAGGCGGAAUUCCCAGUGUAGAGGUGAAAUUCGUAGAGAUUGGGAGGAACACCAGUGGCGAAAGCGGCCUCCUGGACCAAUACUGACGCUGAGACGCGAAAGCGUGGGGAGCAAACAGGAUUAGAUACCCUGGUAGUCCACGCCGUAAACGAUGGGCACUAGGUAUGGGGAGUCUUUAUACUUUCCGUGCCGUAGCUAACGCAUUAAGUGCCCCGCCUGGGGAGUACGAUCGCAAGGUUGAAACUCAAAGGAAUGACGGAAUCGUCGACUGCAGCCCCU
rnacentral:rRNA from 1 species